AUAGACCUUUUGAUAUGAAACUGGUCCUUUGCCACCAAUUUAAUUAGGUAUCUAAGUCUUCUUCUUUCUUUGACCAUUUUAGAUUAGACUUUUCUAGGUUUUUCACCCAACCGUGUUCUUCUAAGAUUUUUAGAGUGUAUGCCACAUCCGACUCUAGAGUGUCUCUUGAAUCUGCCUUUAUGAGCCAGUCAUCCAGGUAUGGAAUAACUGUGAUUCCUUGUUUCCUUAGG